UUCUAAGUUUGUUGCCUCAGAUCUGUGAC
rnacentral:piRNA from 1 species